CCAAAAUCUUUCUCUGUAUACCAUGAACAGUGUGAGGCAACCAGAGAGGAGCUCUGCCUCGGUGUGCUGCCGUCCUGCCUGUGGGAUGGUCACUCCUGUAGGGAGGUGUUCUCCAGCAGAAGAUUUCCUGCAUUGCCCAGCAGUCCAUGGAGCAGGAUUCCACCAUGUUUCUCACCCAUGGAGGAGCUUCCUUGGGACCCAGCUUCCCAGGAAAUCCCCCUCUGCAAACAGCUGCAGGGUGCUGUGAGUGACACUUCCAGUGGGUGCUGCAGUGGGUGGGAUCCCUGUGUAUCUGCUUACUCCUGGCAGGAUGCUUUAUCUGGAAGCGGUGGAGGAGAACCUGGGAGAGUCCUGUGAGCAACAGUAGUGCCAUGGGAUUGAAUAAAAUAACCUUUAUGCAAUUAAGAAGUCUGUAAAUGGAAGAUAUCCAGC